rnacentral:rRNA from 1 species
CCUACGGGAGGCAGCAGUGGGGAAUAUUGGACAAUGGGGGCAACCCUGAUCCAGCGACGCCGCGUGAGUGAAGAAGUAUUUCGGUACGUAAAGCUCUAUCAGCAGGAAAGAAAAUGACGGUACCUGACUAAGAAGCCGCGGCUAACUACGUGCCAGCAGCCGCGGUAAUACGUAGGGGGCAAGCGUUAUCCGGAUUUACUGGGUGUAAAGGGAGCGUAGACGGCAGCGCAAGUCUGGAGUGAAAUGCCGGGGGCCAACCCCGGAACUGCUCUGGAAACUGUGAAGCUGGAGUGCAGGAGAGGUAAGCGGAAUUCCUGGUGUAGCGGUGAAAUGCGUAGAUAUCAGGAGGAACACCGGCGGCGAAGGCGGCUUACUGGACUGUAACUGACGUUGAGGCUCGAAGGCGUGGGGAGCAAACAGGAUUAGAUACCCCAGUAGUC